rnacentral:rRNA from 1 species
UACGAAGGGUGCAAGCGUUAAUCGGAAUUACUGGGCGUAAAGGGUGCGCAGGCGGUUCGCUAAGUCAGAUGUGAAAUCCCCGGGCUUAACCUGGGAACUGCAUUUGUGACUGGCGGGCUAGAGUAUGGCAGAGGGGGGUAGAAUUCCACGUGUAGCAGUGAAAUGCGUAGAGAUGUGGAGGAAUACCGAUGGCGAAGGCAGCCCCCUGGGCCGAUACUGACGCUCAUGCACGAAAGCGUGGGGAGCAAACAGG